AACGAACGCUGGCGGCAGGCUUAACACAUGCAAGUCGAGCGCCCCGCAAGGGGAGCGGCAGACGGGUGAGUAACGCGUGGGAACGUACCUUUUGGUUCGGAACAACUCCGGGAAACUGGAGCUAAUACCGGAUAAGCCCUAACGGGGAAAGAUUUAUCGCCGAAAGAUCGGCCCGCGUCUGAUUAGCUAGUUGGUGAGGUAACGGCUCACCAAGGCGACGAUCAGUAGCUGGUCUGAGAGGAUGAUCAGCCACACUGGGACUGAGACACGGCCCAGACUCCUACGGGAGGCAGCAGUGGGGAAUAUUGGUCAAUGGGCGCAAGCCUGAUCCAGCCAUGCCGCGUGAGUGAUGAAGGCCUUAGGGUUGUAAAGCUCUUUUGUCCGGGAAGAUAAUGACUGUACCGGAAGAAUAAGCCCCGGCUAACUUCGUG
rnacentral:rRNA from 1 species